CCUACGGGAGGCAGCAGUAAGGAAUAUUGGACAAUGGACGCAAGUCUGAUCCAGCCAUGCCGCGUGAAGGAUUAAGGCCCUCUGGGUUGUAAACUUCUUUUAUAGGGGACGAAAAAAGGGCUUUCUAGCUCGACUGACGGUACCCUAUGAAUAAGCACCGGCUAACUCCGUGCCAGCAGCCGCGGUAAUACGGAGGGUGCAAGCGUUAUCCGGAUUCACUGGGUUUAAAGGGUGCGUAGGCGGGUAGGUAAGUCAGUGGUGAAAUCUUCGAGCUCAACUCGGAAACUGCCAUUGAUACUAUUUAUCUUGAAUAUUGUGGAGGUGAGCGGAAUAUGUCAUGUAGCGGUGAAAUGCUUAGAUAUGACAUAGAACACCAAUUGCGUAGGCAGCUCGCUACACAUAUAUUGACGCUGAGGCACGAAAGCGUGGGGAUCAAACAGGAUUAGAUACCCUGGUAGUCCACGCCCUAAACUAUGAUUACUCGACAUAUGCGAUACACUGUAUGUGUUNUGAGNGAAGANAUAAGUAAUACACCNGGAGACGACCGACGAGUAGUAAAGUUAAAUAGUAGUAGAGNGNGAGAGNGCGAGGACGACACGAGGGGAGGAGG
rnacentral:rRNA from 1 species